UAGUGGCGCACGGGUGCGUAACGCGUGGGAAUCUGCCCUCUGGUACGGAAUGACAGUUAGAAAUGACUGCUAAUACCGUAUAAUGACUUCGGUCCAAAGAUUUAUCGCCUGAGGAUGAGCCCGCGUAGGAUUAGCUUGUUGGUGAGGUAAAAGCUCACCAAGGCGACGAUCCUUAGCUGGUCUGAGAGGAUGAUCAGCCACACUGGGACUGAGACACGGCCCAGACUCCUACGGGAGGCAGCAGUGGGGAAUAUUGGACAAUGGGCGAAAGCCUGAUCCAGCAAUGCCGCGUGAGUGAUGAAGGCCUUAGGGUUGUAAAGCUCUUUUACCCGGGAUGAUAAUGACAGUACCGGGAGAAUAAGCCCCGGCUAACUCCGUGC
rnacentral:rRNA from 1 species